ACAAGGAAAUUUUAAAGCAAUUUCCGCAAUGUUGACGCUUUAAAAAAUAAUAAAUAAUAUUGUUUACCAACGACAACGACACGAGCAAAAUUGAUCGGCUAGCGAACGUCGUGGAUUCGUAUGCAUAGAUAAGUUGCAAUGACCACCAGCUUGGGACUCACAUGUACAUAUACAUAUAGAUUCGUCGUAAUAGAAAUCAGCUUGAGAACUGAUUUUUACUUAAACUACAGUUACAAUUUAUUGAAUAUAGAGGUUUAUGGUUAAUUUCAACGCCGAACCAAGUUUGCGAUUGUAUGGGUCGCUACUCGACCGCGAAGAGGCGCGCUGUUCAAAAAGACGAAAAAGGUUACUUUUCCCGACGUGACGUUUAUUACGCAUUUGCGUAACGGUAUUACUUUAUACCGGUUCCAAGCGAUUACUGAAUACGGGACAUUUCUAUAAUAAGGAUCAACUAGCGUCAGAUUAAUGAAUUUAUCGACUUGUGUCCGCUACGAUGAGCGAGCGUAUCGCUGAAAUUCCAUCUUCCAAAUUCUAGACGAAUUAGCAGAAAUGUUCGAGAACAACUACCGACCUAUUUACGAAUCUUACCUUGUCUACAUCUUGAAAAAGAACGUUUCUACGUUACAUGUUUCAGGUGUUCCGUUGCUGGGGUAUAAUAAAUAAUAAUAAAUAUAUAUUAAUGUUUGUUAGCUUUGCAGAUAUUCACACUUUACAACACUAUACGAUGUCUAGACGGUCAAAUGUAAAUGUGGAAAUUUUGUCUAGCACGAAUUUAAUAAUAAAGCGUUAUGGACGAGUACAAUUUAUUAUUAAUCAAAUGAAAAAGCAUGGAAAAAGCUAUUUGCAGAAACGAUUAUUAUUAUUCGAUGUAAACGGAAUAAAUACAUAAAGAACGAGACAAGUUUUUUUUCUUUCUUUGUUUUUAAAUGUUGAAUAAAAUUAAGUAAAUAAAAUAAAAUAAAAUAAAAUAAAAUAAAAUAAAAAAUGUAUAUUGUCGGGUAUAAGGUCGACGAUUGUACAACUUACGAUAAAUGUUCGAAAUUCCAUCGUAGUAUCCUUUUGCGUUUAUCUUGUUGAAUGCACAGGCGAGGCGUACUUGAAUUCAAAACUGGAGACCUGUUUCAGGGAUGUCUGGUGACCAGUCGACGGUCAUAGCAAAACUGAACACAUUGAACCCGCGCUAUGGUAUAAGGAGCUACCUGGCUUCGGUCGCUUACUCGUCGCCACCAUAGGUACGCGCGGUCCAUACCACGUCGAAUCGCCAAGUAAACCUCGUACAUACAUUUAUCGUUUCGUCGCUUCUAAACACUGGUUCAUCCUAAAACUGCUAGUUUUAGAAUGUCUAACAAUAACAGUAAGAAACGGAGAAUUACACGGUAUCGAUCUAGGCCAAAUUUAACAAGGCUAGUUGUUUCUAACCAAAGUCAAAUCGAACUAUCGAUCAUGCGUUUUUCUGUUUUUAUAAAUGUUUCGUCGAAAGAAAGUGGAAAUUUGACAUGUUGGGAAAAAAGUAUUAUAUACUUUUGCUGUGUUGCGCGCCAUCGGCGUCGGACUGUUUGUUGCGCAUGCGCACCCGUGACUGACUCGAGACAGAAGCGAAGAUAGCGGGAAACGUUCGCAACGGACAAAGACGCGAGCUGCUUGUAUCCUUUUCUUCAAAGAAUCGCGCUGCUCGUCACCGUCUAAUGUAACUGUCGAUGUCGUGGCAUUCCAAUAUAAUCGUCAUUUUCGAGAUACAACGUAACCCGUCAACGGAUUUUGUCCUAGAAUAAGAUCGGGUAUGGAGUACACGAUUAUUCGACAGCUUAAUAACGAUUAAUUACGAUACGUGGGAUGAGCAACACCUCCUGCUUACGGAUCGAAAAGUUGAAUUCGGAGCAAAGAAAAAUGGUAAAUUAGUAGUGUAAAAGUAAGUAGCAUUUCAGCGAUUCGAUAUCUUUCAGCUAGAUGACCCGUUGCAUCGUACAAGAAGCCUCGUCCUGAAGCGAGAUCAAGGCAUUUCCGGAUAUGCACGUUGCGAUAGCAGUUGGUCAAGGCCAUCGACUCAUUCAACAUCCUUCCACGACGAGUACAAAGAAGAAUGUGGAACGGCACAACCUGUCGGUCUACCCAUUGCCGUACCAACCGUACCUUUUUUAUUUUCCAAAUCUAGACGUUCCUGCGAUCACUACACGAAAUUCUGUGUUUACUGUGGCUACUCUCCAAGCGUGUGCCUCUUUCCAGCAAGCUGCAAAACUUGCAAAACUUUUCUUGUUCCAAUUCUAUUAAAAUUUUAUUAGAUACGAAUCGUGCAUUACUCGAGAAAUUAAUGGACCCUGUGUGCUACUUUGUAAGCUGCGAUAACAAACGAGAUGUCGAAAAAAUACAACACGAGGAAUGUUGCGGUAAAAUUUGAUCAUCCGUGUUUACGACAUUGGUAAACGAACGAAUGUAUCAGGUUCACCGCUUGGGAGCGCUGUGUAGGUCGUUGAUUCGCAAUGCAGUCGUGCCUUUUGUAAAACAGAUGAUACAUACACGCUGAUGUUUCGAGGAAAGGGAUGACCUAAUAUCGUAAGAGGUCUAGAAAGUUAAACAGCAAUCUUGUCAAACUGUAUUUCACAACACGCUGGCCUCGUACACUUAACUUUUACGCUUCGAUCAAAUGAAAUCGAAUAAACUUACCGUUACGAUGAAAUCCGGUAAACUUGAAUACGCCUUCGCUGGACAGGAGUGUAAUUUAUUCUUCCAUUUCACGUCAUGUAUACUGCGAUACAUUCUACCACACUUGUGAACUUUUGGAAAUUUAUCCAAGAUUUCGUAUAACCCGAAAAAAUAACUCUAAGAAACCUAACACGAAAGAAAAGGAUUAUCGAUGCACGAUUGUUCAACUUGGAUGAAUACAAGAUAUACAAUUUCAAUUUUUUCUUUUAAACAUGUCCCUUGAAAGAUUCAUAUCAGCUAAAUAUCAUUACGGUAAAUUAUACAUAUAAUACGACGGAUUUCUGUUUGCACGUUUUCCAACUAGAUGCCAACUAGAUGCCAACUAGAACAGAGCGCAAUGGGCUAAAACGGAAUAGCUAGAGUAUACAUACAGUAAGUACAUUUCGUACCAAUGUUGGAAUAAAAGUAAAACCAUAAAGAUCCGCGACUUACCCAAUUCCAGCAAUGUAAAAAGUAUAUCUUCUGGUCUUUGUAGCGUCAACUGCUUCGUAACAAAAAACCAAGGAAUUCUCUCGAGGGAAUUUUUGCUAGCGAGAGCAGAAGGUGUAACACAGAAAACAGUUUCGACGAUUUAGUAGGAUAGAUGACAUUUAUUUCAUUACUUAAUCGUUAUUACUUGCUAUUUGAAUGCUAUAAUCGUAUAGAUAUUUAUAAUUAUGUCGAUAAUUAUGCGUGAAUUUAAAGAAUACGUGAGGUCAGCCGCAAGAUGUACAGCCCGCGUCAGUGUUACAAUGAUCGUACAAGUAAAUAAUUACAGAACGAAAUUACGUUUACUUCUCGAUGCAAACACUCAUUGAGGGGUGAGGAUGGGACGAUGGCGGCUCAUCGAUUUCCUUCGACACCUAAUAUUUCCCUAUCGAUCGAUCUCAAUUUACACACGUUCGAACGCGGUAGAAUACUUCUCUCUCUCUCUCUCUCUCUCUCUCUCUCUCUCUCUCUCUCUCUUUCUCGCUCGCUCGCUCGCUCGCUCUCGUUAAUUCGAUUAA